rnacentral:rRNA from 1 species
UACAGAGGUCCCAAGCGUUGUUCGGAAUUACUGGGCGUAAAGGGCGCGUAGGCGGCUUGGUCAGUCCCGUGUGAAAUCCCUCGGCUCAACUGAGGAACUGCACGGGAAACUGCCUGGCUUGAGUUCGGGAGAGGGAAGCGGAAUUCCGGGUGUAGCGGUGAAAUGCGUAGAUAUCCGGAGGAACACCGGUGGCGAAGGCGGCUUCCUGGACCGACACUGACGCUGAGGCGCGAAAGCUAGGGGAGCAAACGGG